GACGUAGGGCGCGAGCGUUGUCCGGAUUUAUUGGGCGUAAAGAGCUCGUAGGCGGUCCAUCGCGUCGGGAGUGAAAAGCUGGGGCUUAACCCCAGUCCUGCUUCCGAUACGGGUGGACUAGAGGUAGGUAGGGGAGAACGGAAUUCCUGGUGUAGCGGUGAAAUGCGCAGAUAUCAGGGGGAACACCGGUGGCGAAGGCGGUUCUCUGGGCCUUACCUGACGCUGAGGAGCGAAAGCAUGGGGAGCAAACAGG
rnacentral:rRNA from 1 species